rnacentral:rRNA from 1 species
UACGGAGGGUGCAAGCGUUGGCCGGAUUUAUUGGGUUUAAAGGGUGCGUAGGCGGCCCGUUAAGUCAGCGGUGAAAUCCCGGGGCUCAACCCCGGAACUGCCGUUGAUACUGGCGGGCUUGAGUUCGGUCGAGGCGGGCGGAACUGGCGGUGUAGCGGUGAAAUGCUUAGAUACCGCCAAGAACCCCGAUUGCGUAGGCAGCUCGCUUGGCCGAAACUGACGCUGAGGCACGAAAGCGUGGGGAGCGAACAGG